AUGUUUACUUCAGCAGCACAUAUACCAAAAUUGCAACAAUACAGAGAAGAUUAGGGAUGACAGGCAAAUUCGUGAAGCAUUCCUAUUUUUU
ensembl:snRNA U6 U6 spliceosomal RNA